rnacentral:sRNA from 1 species
ACGCGACUUCCGCCUCGCCUGCACAUCAAUCUCCAUGUUGAAUCUGGACCGAGGAUCAUCACCGUGUCGUCUCUGAUAGAUCAUGGCCCAGACAGAAUGGAACAAUAUAAUUUUCCUAUUACUCAUGGACCAGAUUUACCUCCAAUAAAAAAGACCCCUGUGCAAACCGAUUGCACCAGUGAAGUCUCCGCUUUGCUUUUUCCAAAUGCAUUUAAAAACUCUACAAAGAGGACCGACAUGUUGAAUGGGAAUCCCCCGGUGAUCAUCAUAUUGAAGAAGCUGCUGAUUAAGACGAUCCAUUUCCGUACAUUUACGGGUGUUCGAAUGGUUAACUGUGGCAAAGUAUCAGUCUGUCUGUAGUAAAACCGAGAGAUAGUUGGAUGUAUAUUGAAUUACGUUACACAUAAAAAAAAAACCCGUAGACUAAGGAUAAGGUAUUCCUUAUAUAAAUGUUCAAAUAGAUUGAUAUACGAAAAAUAACAAACGAGAAAUUUAUGUUUGCUAAAUCAUUAACGACAAUAUUUUGGCACAGAUCAAAAAUUUAAUUUUAAUCAUUAUUUGAUAAAUGUGCAAACACCAAAUACAUCAUUUCAAAAAGUAAACAUUGUUCAGAGUUAGGAUACAUCAAUUUACCCAUUCGUUAAAGAGCUUCCCCUCCUUUGAAAAUGUUGUGCUUCCACGGUCGGUUGACUGUCGCUAGGAACAACAUCCCUUAUGUCAAUCUCUCCUCUCAACCGGAACACGCCGUCCACUGAACUGUCCACAUCUUCCUCCUCCUCUCGAUUCAGCACGGAGUGGAUUCGACCGGAAAUCUCGCGAACGACGGAUGAUUUCCGGCGGGAAGCAUACCUUUGGUAAUCCUGAUCACUAUUGACGUUUAUGCUGAAAAUCUGGACCACUCUAUUGUUGUUUCCAUUCAUAUUUUGAUAUGUUUAAAUCAGAUAGUCGUUUGAGAAUAUAAUGUUUGUAGUAUAAUGAAUAACGUUCUAUAUACGUUCUAAAGGUUAAAAUUUCGUUACUCAUUAAUGCACAGACACGGGGAAGAUAAAUAUUGCACGGGCACGAGCUACAAAGAAUUGUGUUAUAAUGUCGCAUACAUUUAAGAAAAAACAUUGAACUCGUUGCCCAAUAUGUGACCUACACUGUAUCUUAAGGUAUAUUUUCUUGAUUAAUUCCCACGCACAGUUACAAAUAAAGGCCGAGUGUUGAUAAAUCACCAUU